CACGACCGGCGCGUGGUCUACUCGGAGACGCUGGGGCUGGCCAGCCACGACCAGGAGGUGCUGCUGGCUGCUGUGCAGCCCACCGAGGAGCAGGUGAUGGGGCGGCUCACGGCGCCCGUCGUCACCACCCAGCUCGACACCAAGAACAUCGCCUUCGAGAGGAACAAGUCUGGGAUCCUGGGCUGGAGGAGCGAGAAGACGGAGAUGGUGAACGGGUAUGAGGCCAAGGUCUACGGCGCGUCCAACGUGGAGCUCAUCACGCGGACGCGGACCGAGCACCUCUCGGACCAGCACAAGGGCAAGAGCAAAGG